CGUGCAGGCGGUCUUGUAAGUGGGCUGUGAAAUCCCCUGGCUCAACCAGGGACAUGCAUCCCAGACUGCAAGGCUUGAGUAUAGGAGAGGAUGGGGGAAUUCCCGGUGUAGCGGUGAAAUGCAUUGAUAUCGGGAGGAACACCAGUGGCGAAGGCGCCCAUCUGGCCUAAUACUGACGCUCAGGCGCGAAAGCUAGGGGAGCAAACAGGAUUAGAUACCCUGGUAGUCCUAGCCGUAAACGGUGGGCACUAGGUGUAGGAGGCAUCGACCCCUCCUGUGCCGCAGCUAACGCAUUAAGUGCCCCGCCUGGGGAGUACGACCGCAAGGUUGAA
rnacentral:rRNA from 1 species